rnacentral:rRNA from 1 species
AGAGUUUGAUCCUGGCUCAGGAUGAAUGCUGGCGGCGUGCCUAACACAUGCAAGUCGAACGGACUCAUAUUGAAACCUAGUGAUUUAUGAGUUAGUGGCGGACGGGUGAGUAACGCGUGGAAAACCUGCCGUAUACCGGGGGAUAACACUUAGAAAUAGGUGCUAAUACCGCAUAAGCGCACAGCUUCGCAUGAAGCAGUGUGAAAAACUCCGGUGGUAUACGAUGGUUCCGCGUCUGAUUAGCUGGUUGGCGGGGUAACGGCCCACCAAGGCAACGAUCAGUAGCCGGCCUGAGAGGGUGAACGGCCACAUUGGGACUGAGACACGGCCCAAACUCCUACGGGAGGCAGCAGUGGGGAAUAUUGCACAAUGGGGGAAACCCUGAUGCAGCGACGCCGCGUGAGUGAAGAAGUAUUUCGGUACGUAAAGCUCUAUCAGCAGGGAAGAAAAUGACGGUACCUGACUAAGAAGCCCCGGCUAACUACGUGCCAGCAGCCGCGGUAAUACGUAGGGGGCAAGCGUUAUCCGGAUUUACUGGGUGUAAAGGGAGCGUAGACGGCCGUGCAAGUCUGAAGUGAAAUGCCGGGGCUCAACCCCGGAACUGCUUUGGAAACUGUACAGCUAGAGUGCAGGAGGGGUGAGCGGAAUUCCUAGUGUAGCGGUGAAAUGCGUAGAUAUUAGGAGGAACACCGGUGGCGCAGGCGGCUCACUGGACUGUAACUGACGUUGAGGCUCGAAAGCGUGGGGAGCAAACAAGAUUAGAUACCCUGGUAGUCCACGCCGUAAACGAUCAUAAAAGGGUCGGGGGGCCAAGGUCCCUUGGGUGCGGGGGCAAAGGCAUUAAGUAUUCCCCUGGGGGGGACGGUUGGCAAGAUGAAAACUCAAAGAAAUGAGGGGGACCCGCACCAAGCGGUGGAGCAUGUGGUUUAAUCCGAAGCAACGCGAAAACCCUUCCCGGGCCUUGACAUCCCGAUGAAUGUACAGUAAGGUGUACAGGACUUCGGUACAUCGGAGACAGGUGGCGCAUGGUUGUCGUCAGCUCGUGUCGUGAGAUGUUGGGUUAAGUCCCGCAACGAGCGCAACCCCUGCCCUCAGUAGCCAGCAGGUAAAGCUGGGAACUCUGAGGGGACUGCCCGGGAUAACCGGGAGGAAGGCGGGGAUGACGUCAAAUCAUCAUGCCCCUUAUGGCCGGGGCUACACACGUGCUACAAUGGCGGAAACAGAGGGAAGCAGCCCCGUGAGGGUGAGCGAACCCCAAAAACACCGCCUCAGUUCGGAUUGUAGUCUGCAACCCGACUACAUGAAGCCGGAAUCGCUAGUAAUCGCGAAUCAGAAUGUCGCGGUGAAUACGUUCCCGGGUCUUGCACUCACAGCCCGUCA